UACGUAGGGGGCAAGCGUUGUCCGGAAUCACUGGGCGUAAAGCGCACGUAGGCGGAUGUGUCAGUCAGGGGUGAAAUCCCGGAGCUCAACUUCGGAACUGCCUUGAUACAGCACGUCUUGAGUCCGAUAGAGGUGGGUGGAAUUCCUGGUGUAGCGGUGGAAUGCGCAGAUAUCAGGAGGAACACCAUAGCGAAGGCAGCUCGCUGGACGUACUGACACUGAGGCGCGAAGACGUGGGAGCGAACAGG
rnacentral:rRNA from 1 species